rnacentral:lncRNA from 1 species
CGCUGAGCUCAAGGGGGAAGCAGCCGUGUGCAGAGCACGGACGCUGCUCCGGCCACAGAGGCAGGCAGACUCCUCAUGGAGGCCGGCCGCUCCCCCUGAGAGAAACCAGAACCUGCGGUUUCCCUCCCACAGCUCCAAGCCCUACUGACUCUGCCCUCUUAAUAGCUUCCUGAGGCCUCCUUGGCUUCCUCGCUGCAGUUUGUAUCCCUCACAUUUUUUUCACCUGGAUGAGCAACAGCCUCCUAAAUGCUGUGUUCUGUUCUUUAAUUAGUUCCCUUCGCUGUCACCAAAAAUAGCUCCAUAAGGCAGAAAGCCAUUAUGUCACUCCCCUACCAGACCUGUCUCGGCAGCUGUCACGCUGAGGAGCACUCUGACGUCCAGCCCCAGCUGCUCUUGCCCGGCUGCACCAGGUGCUCCGGGCCGCCUCCUUCUGCACCCUCGCCUGCCCUGUGGGGACCCUGACACCUCCACUCAGGCUACACCUCAGUGCACCAGGCCGAACUCUGAGCCAAGGCCCUGGAGGGAGACAGCACAUCCUCGCUCAGCUCACUGCAGCACUGUGCAGACGCCUGCAGCACGGGUCCUUCACCCGUCCAUUCUGUCAGAAUUUUUCAAGCAUCUGCCAUAUGUGAGAAGAUGCUGGGGAGUGUUCUGGGAAUGUGUGGUGAACAAGACACGAAGCCCUGACUUCCGUGGCACUUCCAUUCUUACAAGCCCAUCCAGAGCCAGGAGGCUCCAAGAGACGAAGAAGACCCACUUGGGUGCAUGGUGUGGAUGGAACUUCGAUGUCGGGAGUGACCAAGAGAUUAGGGGCCAAUCCUUCCUUGUGCCUCUUGCUGUUGCCUGUCUGUUUCCUGCUGUUUCCUCUGGCAUCUCAGGCAGCACAGCUGUUUGUCACUGCCUCAGGAAAACCUCAUAGCCAC